UAUUAAGCUAAUAUAUUUAGUCUAUUUGAUUGUGUUUCUCACGUUGAACAAUUUCACUGCCUUUUAUUACAAAGAAUGUUCAACCUGCAACGAUAGCAACCGGUAUAGUGUAAACGGGCCUUAUUAAACUUAAGUAUCUUGUCUGGUGAUAACUGAUAAAAUAUUGAUUAUUUGGUAGCACUAGUAUAUUUCUAUAACCAUAAUAUGAUUAUUGUGUUUCACAGUUGAAACCAGUGGUUGAAACUGAUCAUUAGAGCUAUUAAUAGACAAACUUAUUGAUAUUUACCGGAAACCAACAAGCGGUAGGUAACACAUUGUAUUCUUCAUCGCCAGAACGGAAAUAGCACGAUAUUCCUUUUUAUCUGCUAUUCUGCUUCGGUGCUUGUCCAUGUUCAUUUGCUUCUGUGGUCAACUUCUCAUAUCAGAAUAAUGAAAAAAUAACGACGCCCUUACUGAAAAUUGUCAAUUGUUCAGACAGCCUCGCGCAAAAACCAUAAAGUAUGAGUGAUUUGACGACUAUUAUGCUACCAGAUGGUACCGAAAUUGAUUUAUCGGAUUUGGAUGAAAGCGAACUGUUAGAAUUGUAUCGUAGUUACGAAGAACAGGACUCGCUCGUUAGCGUGGGUACAGUCGUCGGUGGCGGCUUCACUUCAACGUUAGACUCUUGUCUUGGCCCGACAACUUCGCAAACCAUUCUUGUUGCUGCGAAAAUAUUUGCAAUGUGUUUCCUUCUUCGUGUUGUAACCUUGAUGAAGAUACCCAAUCGAAUGAAACAUUCUGUAUCUUGCGUCACUGGAAUUGCUACAUUUCACAUGUUUUUUGUCGAUCAUAAAAUGUUGUAUCAUUUAUUUGUAUUUUGUUCCAUUGGAUAUUUGUUGAUGGUGCUGACGGGAAAAUUCAAAGGUGCUCUUGUGAGUUUGUUUUGUGUAACGUUCUUACUUUCAUGUGAAAUAUACUUUGUUCCUUUUGCACGUUGGAAUCCAGUGAAAGGGACUUUCAUGGUGCUGAGUAUGAAAUUAAUAUCUUUGUCAUUUGAUGUGGAUGAAGCCAUCAUCUCGAUGCAGCCUGAUCCUUUUGAGUUUUCUGGUUAUGUUCUUUGUCCAUCUUCAAUCAUCUUUGGUCCAUUCAUGAUGUACAACGAUUAUCUUCAAAUCUUUCAAUUCCACAAAAUGAGCUUAAAAUGGUUUUUGGCGUUGGUGAAAUCCAUUGCAUUGGCUUAUCUUUUUCUCAUACUUUCAACUUGUGUCUGUCCGUGGAUUUUCCCCGAAAAAAGUAACAAAUGGUUGCUGGCAUUUCAAACGGCAAUGUCGUUUCGAUAUAGCAAUUACUUUGUCGGUUUUCUGUCAGAAUCUUCGUGUCUUCUUUGUGGUAUUGGUACUGUUGUAAAAGAUGAUGACGAGGACAAAAUUCGAUGGCAAGUUCCAGUUUCCCGACCACAGCAUGUAGAAAUUCCAAGAUCAUUUGUUGAAAUCGCUAUUCAUUGGAGUGUUCCCUAUCACUAUUUUCUGAAGAAGUAUGUGUUCAAAAGAGCUCAAAGUCUCGGCCCUUUUUUCUCGAUGCUUGUCACAUUUGGCGCAAGUUCUAUGCUACAUGGUAUCAGUUUCAAAAUUGCUGCUGUACUUGUGUCUAUCUCUACGUAUGCGUACGUUGAACAUAAUUUUAGAAGGAAGCUGUCACGUGUUUUAAACAUGUGUAUCGAGGCGCGUAAAUGUAAACCUGGUUGUGAACAUCGUUAUAAGGAGACAAAUUACUGGGUGACAGUUAUAAAUCUUGCAUUUGGUUUUCUCAACAUGUUUCAUCUAGCGUACCUCGGCGCAAUGUUCGAUGGUGAACAACCUGAAGAGGGUUAUGGGGUGAAGCACACGAUUGACAAAUGGUCAGAGUUGAACUAUGCCAGUCACUGGGUGGUCUUUGGAACCUACGUUGCUUCUCUUGCCUUGUAAGCCGUCUCUUAUUUUUAUGGUGGUGUUUUCAACUACAUCUGCAUGGAGUUGUAUGGUGAUGUUUUCAACUACAUCUACAUCUCAGAACCGACAAAUUGCUUGGCCUACCGUAGUUUUUGUCGAUACAAUAAGGAUUUCUUCCUAAAGACCGAAGACAUGUUAAGUAAAGAACAAGUAAAAUCGAUUUGCUGGAUGUAUUUCAUACCAUGAUGAACGCGGUGAUGAGAUGGUGUGACAAAUAUGUACUCCAAUGGCCCAAGAUUAUCUACGACCUGUUAAAAAGUUAAAACAACAGCAUUAGCAAACUUAGCAAAGGGCCUUCGCUAGUUUUAAGCCACAUACACUGAAUAAAAAAUACACUAUUUUUUACAUAAUCAUGAGUUUAUUAAACCGUCAUCUUCCUUUUGUGAAAUCGAAGGAGAUAACAGCGUGAAACAUAUUUUUAUGCAGACUUUGCGUUGCAAGGUUUGAUACAGCUCUUUGUGAACGCCUUUUCUUUUUGUUAUAAUUUUGUUUUGGCACUUCUCGGCGUCAAUUAUGUAGUCGUAUGUUCAAAGGCCUUUCAUACAUUGAUGGUUUUUCAUCUUUCAGUAAACAAGAUUGAAUAAAUAAUAUAGCAUUUAUUGAAAUAGUUAGGUUUAAUGUGAUAUGAACAAUAAUCAAGAUGCAGUUUGUCAUAACCAAUGAAUCGUAGACUAUUUAAAGUCAAUAAAUUUUGAUAUUACGUUGAAAACCAAA